GACGAACGCUGGCGGCGUGCCUAACACAUGCAAGUCGAGCGAGAAUCUGAUUAUUGAUCCCUUCGGGGUGAUUUAAUCAGAGGAAAGCGGCGGACGGGUGAGUAACGCGUGAGUAACCUGCCUUCAGGAGGGGGACAACAUUCCGAAAGGGAUGCUAAUACCGCAUGACAUUGUUUUAUCGCAUGAUAGAACAAUCAAAGAUUUUAUCGCCUGAAGAUGGACUCGCGUCUGAUUAGAUAGUUGGUGGGGUAACGGCCUACCAAGUCGACGAUCAGUAGCCGAACUGAGAGGUUGAUCGGCCACAUUGGGACUGAGACACGGCCCAG
rnacentral:rRNA from 1 species